AUACUUACCUGGCAGCGGGGAUACCAUGAUCACAAAGGUGGUUUUCCCAGGGCGAGGCUUAUCCAUUGCACUCCAGAUGUGCUGACCCCUGUGAUUUCCCCAAAUGUGGGAAACUCGACUGCAUAAUUAAA
rnacentral:snRNA from 1 species